GCUCCGGCGGGGCCCCCGAGACAAGGUCUACAGAGGAUAAAACUACUUGUGACAUACAAUGAAAUGUAGGGGGGACCUCCUCCGCGUUAACACCCUCAGCUAAAGUGAUAUAUACACUGCGGAUGCUCGUCUGGGACGCCUGCAGAACGAUGACGGGACACAAACCCGGGUCUCCAGCAUCCAAAACAUGUCAAGUCAUUAAAAACGGUCUGUACUCCGGUCUGCAGCUCGUCCACAACAAAGCCCACGACGCAUUUCAGGAAGCCCGUGUCACCACUGCAGAAAGUAAUCAGGAUCAUUAAUAUUUCACAGUCCGCCACGCCUCCCCGACUG